rnacentral:rRNA from 1 species
UACAGAGGUCUCAAGCGUUGUUCGGAUUCAUUGGGCGUAAAGGGUGUGUAGGUGGCGCCGUAAGUCGGGUGUGAAAUUUCGGAGCUUAACUCCGAAACUGCAUUCGAUACUGCGGUGCUUGAGGACUGGAGAGGAGACUGGAAUUCAUGGUGUAGCAGUGAAAUGCGUAGAGAUCAUGAGGAAGACCAGUGGCGAAGGCGGGGCGU